CGGCGUGCUUAACACAUGCAAGUCGAACGGUGAAAGAGAGCUUGCUCUCUGGAUCAGUGGCGAACGGGUGAGUAACACGUGAGCAAUCUGCCCCUGACUCUGGGAUAAGCGCUGGAAACGGCGUCUAAUACCGGAUACGAGCUGCGAAGGCAUCUUCAGCAGCUGGAAAGAACUUCGGUCAGGGAUGAGCUCGCGGCCUAUCAGCUAGUUGGUGAGGUAACGGCUCACCAAGGCGUCGACGGGUAGCCGGCCUGAGAGGGUGACCGGCCACACUGGGACUGAGACACGGCCCAGACUCCUACGGGAGGCAGCAGUGGGGAAUAUUGCACAAUGGGCGAAAGCCUGAUGCAGCAACGCCGCGUGAGGGACGACGGCCUUCGGGUUGUAAACCUCUUUUAGCAGGGAAGAAGCGAAAGUGACGGUACCUGCAGAAAAAGCACCGGCUAACUACGUGCCAGCAGCCGCGGUAAUACGUAGGGUGCAAGCGUUAUCCGGAAUUAUUGGGCGUAAAGAGCUCGUAGGCGGUUUGUCGCGUCUGCUGUGAAAACCCGAGGCUCAACCUCGGGCCUGCAGUGGGUACGGGCAGACUAGAGUGCGGUAGGGGAGAUUGGAAUUCCUGGUGUAGCGGUGGAAUGCGCAGAUAUCAGGAGGAACACCGAUGGCGAAGGCAGAUCUCUGGGCCGUAACUGACGCUGAGGAGCGAAAGGGUGGGGAGCAAACAGGCUUAGAUACCCUGGUAGUCCACCCCGUAAACGUUGGGAACUAGUUG
rnacentral:rRNA from 1 species